GAUGAACGCUGGCGGCGUGCCUAAUACAUGCAAGUCGAGCGAACGGACGAGAAGCUUGCUUCUCUGAUGUUAGCGGCGGACGGGUGAGUAACACGUGGAUAACCUACCUAUAAGACUGGGAUAACUUCGGGAAACCGGAGCUAAUACCGGAUAAUAUUUUGAACCGCAUGGUUCAAAAGUGAAAGACGGUCUUGCUGUCACUUAUAGAUGGAUCCGCGCUGCAUUAGCUAGUUGGUAAGGUAACGGCUUACCAAGGCAACGAUGCAUAGCCGACCUGAGAGGGUGAUCGGACACACUGGAACUGAGACACGGUCCAGACUCCUACGGGAGGCAGCAGUAGGGAAUGUUCCGCAAUGGGCGAAAGCCUGACGGAGCAACGCCGCGUGAGUGAUGAAGGUCUUCGGAUCGUAAAACUCUGUUAUUAGGGAAGAACAUAUGUGUAAGUAACUGUGCACAUAUUGACGGUACCUAAUCAGAAAGCCACGGCUAACUACGUG
rnacentral:rRNA from 1 species